UACUUUCCAAAGCUUCCUUAACUAUGUAUGCUUCCUGCUGGAGGAAAUUGGGAAAUCUGCCUGGAAUCUGGGGUAAAUGCUCGUUUACCUGAUGGAGGAUCAGAUCCCCAGCAAAAUUUGCAUUCUUUCUACUAGAAGAAAUGGAAAGGCC